GGUCUCUUCGUCUAGUCUGGUCAGGACGUCAGGUUUUCAUCCUGGUAACUCGGGUUCAAAUCCCGGAGAGACUACCA
rnacentral:tRNA from 2 species